rnacentral:lncRNA from 1 species
GCCAAGGCUGGGGGCGCUGCCCAUGGGCUAGGUGCAUUGUCCAUUCACACCAGUGUAAAGAUGGCCUGGAUCCAAGGACCACAGCGGAUGGGUUGAGGGAAGCCAAAGACAAAAACCAGCCCUGACUCCAGGGAGCUUUUGUAGGGUGCAGCAUUCCCUGUGAGUCUCAGAUCUCUUCUGUAAAAAGCCCUUGUCUACAGUCUGGCCCUCGCCAGCACUGCUGCCAGCCCAGUCCAUCCCUCCGAGCCCAGAGUGCUCCCACCACUGCACACAGACAGGCCCCAGUGCAAGGGGCCCAUGACGGGAGCGUCUGCCUGCGCCUUCCCCUCCAAGUUCCCUUCUCCAGCAUCCACCCAUCAUGCCCACUUCCCCCCCUCCAGUGUCCACCCAUCAUGCCCACUUCCCCCCCUCCAGUGUCCACCCAUCAUGCCCAUGUCCCCCUCUCCAGUGUCCACCCAUCAUGCCCACUUCCCCCACUCUAGUGUCCACCCAUCAUGCCCAUGUCCCCCUCUCCAGUGUCCACCCAUCAUGCUCACUUCCCCCUCUCCAGUGUCCACCCAUCAUGCCCACGUCCCCCUCUCCAGUGUCCACCCAUCAUGCCCACAUCCCCCUCUCCAGUGUCCACCCAUCAUGCCCACAUCCCCCUCUCCAGUGUCCACCCAUCAUGCCGACGC